rnacentral:rRNA from 1 species
AUGAACGCUGGCGGCGUGCCUCAUACAUGCAAGUCGAGCGAACAGACGAGGAGCUUGCUCCUCUGACGUUAGCGGCGGACGGGUGAGUAACACGUGGAUAACCUACCUAUAAGACUGGGAUAACUUCGGGAAACCGGAGCUAAUACCGGAUAAUAUAUUGAACCGCAUGGUUCAAUAGUGAAAGACGGUUUUGCUGUCACUUAUAGAUGGAUCCGCGCCGCAUUAGCUAGUUGGUAAGGUAACGGCUUACCAAGGCAACGAUGCGUAGCCGACCUGAGAGGGUGAUAGGCCACACUGGAACUGAGACACGGUCCAGACUCCUACGGGAGGCAGCAGUAGGGAAUCUUCCGCAAUGGGCGAAAGCCUGACGGAGCAACGCCGCGUGAGUGAUGAAGGUCUUCGGAUCGUAAAACUCUGUUAUUAGGGAAGAACAAAUGUGUAAGUAACUAUGCACGUCUUGACGGUACCUAAUCAGAAAGCCACGGCUAACUACGUG